rnacentral:rRNA from 1 species
GAUGAACGCUGGCGGCGUGCCUAAUACAUGCAAGUCGAACGCAUUGUGGUUGAAAUGAUAUGAAGAACUUGUUCAGAUUUGAUUUUCAACAUUGCAAUGAGUGGCGAACGGGUGAGUAACACGUGGGAAACCUACCUCUUAGCAGGGGAUAACAUUUGGAAACAAAUGCCAAUACCGUAUAAUAAUUAAAACCGCAUGGUUUUAGUUUAAAAGAUGGUCUUGCUAUCACUAAGAGAUGGUCCCGCGGUGUAUUAGUUAGUUGGUGAGGUAAUGGCUCACCAAGACAAUGAUACAUAGCCGAGUUGAGAGACUGACCGGCCACAAUGGGACUGAGACACGGCCCAUACUCCUACGGGAGGCAGCAGUAGGGAAUCUUCCACAAUGGACGAAAGUCUGAUGGAGCAACGCCGCGUGUGUGAUGAAGGGUUUCGGCUCGUAAAACACUGUUGUAAGAGAAGAAUGACAUUGAGAGUAACUGUUCAAUGUGUGACGGUAUCUUAACC